UUUAUGGCAUUUUUAUAAAAAUAAAUUUUUAGUAAUAACAUAAAUUUAACAGUCUGAUGCAAAAAGCGAAUAUACCCUUUCUUGACAUUGUGCAGAGCAUAAAAAUUAACAGCGGCAGUCGAGCGGAAAUAUAAUGCGUAUGAUGAAUAUUUAUGCAUGUGUGUGCGUGCUAGGCAGCAUGUAGGCAUGCAAAGGCAAAGCCAAAUGCGCAAAAAUAUUGUGUUGUGCGACUCUUCUUCUUGAUUUUCCAUGAGGCGAGUGGAGAAGGUGCCCCUGCGGCCUUCCUAUUAACACAGCUGGCUGGGCUGGACUAGGUGAACUAGCUAAUACCUCGUCAAAAACGUCAACCACCAACUUUAGUAAAGUAUAAGAUAAUAAAGUAAACAGCACAAAAGCUGCUGAGGUAGCAGCAUUAUGCCGAAAGCAGAAAGGAGAAAAAGACAGCUGAGAGUUUGUGGUGCAAGAGCAGCAGAAAGGAAGCGGCUGGCAAAAGGGACAGAGAAGACAGACAAAAAGUUCGAGCCGACAAUGACACAAGCACAUGCGAAAACAAUUGAAGCAUGCAUAAAAGAAAAAAAAAACAGCAGAAAAAAUGUCUUGGAAAGGGGAGCAAAGCAAAUGCAAAAGCAAAAGUUUUAUGGCAAAAGAACUCGAGCCGAAACCGUGCACACACACGCAAGAAAGGAAAUUCAUGUGAUGGGAAACGGAAAUCAAAAGCUGCUACAAUGUUUGCUGUUGUUGCAGCAGCUUUGCAUAUAAUUUAUGAGCCCAAGGGCAUGGGCUAGGGGGCAGGCAGAAGGGGCGACUGAGCAGCGUAGCAAAAGCCUCUUAUGGACGAAGCGAAAAGAUUGAAUUUGUUUGGGCGGAAAAUGAAAAUGUAAAGCAACGAACAAGGCACCGGGUAGAGCGCGCCACAAAGCGUUGGGGCUCCGUGCAGGUGUGAAAUGCGAUCGGACUGCGACGAGCACAGGCUGGCGGCAGGCAAAUGAGGCCAUUACACAAACAAACACACACACAUACACAUAAAUAGAAGUAACCCUUUUUAUUAUGUAGUUGUUGUUGUUUGUGUCCCACGUUUCGGCUGUGGUUUUAGUUUUGAAUUUUUUUGUUGCUUUCAUAAUUCUCUAUUCACACGACGAAGACGCCAAAAGAGCGACAAAAAAGGCGAUACAGGAAAUGUAAAACCAGUCAAGUACACAAAAUAACCGCAACAAAAGCACGAGAAUCUGUCGCCUCUAGUCGCAAAUGCUGAAGUGGUUACAGUUAUGACCAGACAGGAAGAUAUAGGAAGGUAAAGAGUAUGUGUGAAAGACAGAGAGAGACAGUCAGGUAUAGAGAUGCGACUCUUCUCCAUUCAUGGAACCAGUGAAGAUGUUGACCUUUUUUAUUUGAUAUUGGCGGAUACUUUAAUCGAUAUGAAGAAGAAACUUUGUUUUGUUAUCGGGACUUGGAUGUGCAAUCAAAUGGCAAAAUCGAGGUUAUCAGCAUCGUACAUCGCAAUCCAGCUGCUCUUGAUAAUCAUUCAUAAAACAUCAUUUGCGUUUGUGUUGGUAAUAUGACAUGUAUCUUUGUGUGCGUGCGUGUGGUAGGCGGCAGCACCAGAGAAAAGUACACCGAAUUCGAAUUCCAUUCAUGAAAAAACCCACACAUCGCUCAAUAUGCACAUGUAUGUGUGUGUAUGCAUGUGAGCCUCUGUAAGUGUGUUGGCACAUGCGCUGUAGCUGUAGCGUCGUCACUCACACUCACACACAAACACACAAGCGAAAUUCAUUCACAAAAAGGGGCAACUGCACGCGGCAGCGGGGGCGAUGCCGUAACAUUCAGCCAGUCAACAGCAACGGUGUCGGCUGGUAGACAAAACAGCAGCGGAACUAGCUUCGUGUUGGCUUUGCCAGCAACAGUAACGACAACAAUGUAAAAUGUUCGUUUGUUGCUUGCUGCAUCAAAAAACACACACGCGAGUGCUGCCAGAGCGAGAUGGCAUGAUACGGCUUUGCCGUGCGCGAAAACAGCACCGCACGCUGCUGCCUCACACUCACACACAAUAAUGCAUUUUCAGCCAACAAAAAAAUAGCAUUUGUUACUGUAUUUUGUCAAUGCUAAACAAUUAGUUGCAUUUCAUUGAUUUUUGGAAUCACUAAUUCAUUAUUCUCUUUGCUGCACAUUUUUCUUUUAAAAAGCUGCUAUUCAUUUUACUGUUUUACGUUUGCUUGGGCGCCUCAUAGCGACGCGCUCACAUUCCAAUACACUUUUCACAUCGACAAACUAUCAUACGCGUGCAAAUUGUAGUUACUUUAUGCACAUAUUGGCCUCGUUUAGUAGUUGUUCUGAAGUUUUCAUUGAUUUGCACAGAUU
rnacentral:sRNA from 1 species